rnacentral:rRNA from 1 species
UACGGAGGGUGCGAGCGUUGUCCGGAAUCAUUGGGCGUAAAGGGCGCGUAGGCGGCGCGGAAAGUCAACGGUGAAAGCUUGGGGCUCAACCCCGAGUCGGCCGUCGAUACUUCCGUGCUCGAGCACUGUAGAGGCAGGUGGAAUUCCGGGUGUAGCGGUGGAAUGCGUAGAGAUCCGGAAGAACACCGGUGGCGAAGGCGGCCUGCUGGGCAGUAGCUGACGCUGAUGCGCGACAGCGUGGGGAGCAAACAGG